rnacentral:rRNA from 1 species
GAUGAACGCUGGCGGCGUGCCUAAUACAUGCAAGUCGAGCGAACAGACGAGGAGCUCGCUCCUCUGACGUUAGCGGCGGACGGGUGAGUAACACGUGGAUAACCUACCUAUAAGACUGGGAUAACUUCGGGAAACCGGAGCUAAUACCGGAUAACAUGUUGAACCGCAUGGUUCAACAGUGAAAGACGGUCUUGCUGUCACUUAUAGAUGGAUCCGCGCCGCAUUAGCUAGUUGGUAAGGUAACGGCUUACCAAGGCAACGAUGCGUAGCCGACCUGAGAGGGUGAUCGGCCACCCUGGAACUGAGACACGGUCCAGACUCCUACGGGAGGCAGCAGUAGGGAAUCUUCCGCAAUGGGCGAAAGCCUGACGGAGCAACGCCGCGUGAGUGAAGAAGGUCUUCGGAUCGUAAAACUCUGUUAUUAGGGAAGAACAAAUGUGUAAGUAACUAUGCACGUCUUGACGGUACCUAAUCAGAAAGCCACGGCUAACUACGUG